CUGCGGCAGCUCGCGCCGCGUUCAGCCGGUCGUGCGCGCUCUGUCUCCAUGGCGACCCGCGGCGGGGCGGCGGCCGGGAGGCCCUACGAGCUGGUGGUGUUCGGGGCCUCGGGCUUCACGGGCCACUUCGUGGCGGAGGAGGUGGCGCGGGUGGCGGCCGGGGCUGAACUGCGGGGCUCGCUGCGCUGGGCCGUGGCCGGCAGGAGUCGGGACAAGCUGCAAGGGGUGUUGGACAGGGCGGCGGAGAGGCUGGGAAAGCCAGAGCUAAAGUCAGAAGUUGGCAUAAUACUAUGUGAUGUCAGUGACCCAUCCUCCCUUGCUGAUAUGGCUAAACAGGCAGAUGUUGUUCUCAACUGUGUGGGCCCAUACAGGUUUUUUGGAGAACCUGUAGUGAAAGCUUGUGUUGAGAAUGGCACAAGUUGCGUUGACAUCAGUGGAGAACCUCAGUUUCUGGAAGGAAUGUAUCUGAAAUACAAUGAUAAAGCUGCAGAAAAGGGGGUAUAUGUCGUUGGAAGCUGUGGCUUUGACUCUAUUCCAGCAGAUAUGGGAGUCUUAUACACCAGAGACAAUUUGAAAGGUAACCUAACUGCAGUUGAAAGUUUCCUGACUGUGAAAUCUGGACCUGAGGGUUACAGUAUCCAUGAUGGAACCUGGAAGUCAGCUAUUCAUGGCCUUGCAGAUCAAGAUAAUUUGAGGAAGCUUCGGAAGCAGAUAGGACACAAACCUCUCCCAAUCAUUGGUGCAAAACAAAAAAGAAGAGGACUAGUGUUUUACAGUCAGGAAUUCAAAGAGUAUUGCAUUCCAUUCAUGGGAUCAGACGUCUCUGUUGUGAAACGAACUCAACGGUACUUGCACACACAUUUGCAAGAAACACCUGUGCAGUAUGCAGCUUAUGCAACGGUGGGUGGUAUUGCAUCUGUUAUUAAGCUGAUGUUUGCUGGCCUUUUAUUUUUUCUUCUCGUGAAGUUUAGCUUCGGAAGAAAUCUCCUGACAAAAUACCCAGAACUUUUCUCUUGUGGACGUUUUACAAAGAAAGGACCAACACAAAAGCAGAUAGAUGGAUCAUCUUUUACAAUGACAUUUUUUGGUGAAGGGUACUGCGAGGGCCAAGAUCCACAACAGGGCAAACCAAAUGUAAAAAUCUGCACCCAAGUGAAAGGACCAGAUGCUGGCUAUGUUGCUACAGCAAUAGCAAUGGUUCAGGCAGGUGUAGCACUGCUAAAGGAUGCAAGUUCUCUUCCUGAACAAGGUGGCGUAUAUACUCCAGGAGCUGCUUUCUCUAAAACAAAACUGAUUGAUCAGCUGAACAAACGUGGCAUUGAAUUCUCUGUUAUUAGCAAGUCAGAAGCCUGAAGUUUCAAAAUAAUUCCACAAACUAAUGUACCAAAAGCUUCUUCAGAUGUAAAAACCUAAUAAAUAUUUACAAAUGAGUUGUAUUAUUGCUAACAAUGGCAUUAAAAAAGGAUUAUAGCAUUUUGUGUAGGCAUUAGUGAACUAGCUGCUGCAGAGAGAUACCACCACCUCAUGCUUUAGGAGUAUUAGAGGAAAUUACUGCUUCAGCUUCUAUUUAGAUGCCAAAAAUUAACCUCUUUCAGCUCAUAUUUAUAUAAAAUUAUAAUGGGAUGCAUGUGUGUGUUUCAGGUCUGAUCCUCUAUAGAACUUUACUAGGUAUUGGAACUCCAGAAUGGUGGUAGAUUGGGGCAGUAGGUUCUAAACAUCAAGUUGUCAGUCAAGGGAUUUACAAAAUGACCUCAUUUACCAUAGAAGGGUCUGGAUACCAAGUGCCUUAGCUAAUCAAGCCAUUACUUAUGACUAUUUAGAGGAAGGGACCACUUGUU